UACGGAGAGUGCAAGCGUUGUUCGGAAUUAUUGGGCGUAAAGCGCGUGUAGGCGGUUCAACAAGUCUGGCGUGAAAGCCUCGGGCUCAACCUGGGAAGUGCGCUGGAAACUGUCGAACUUGAGUACUGGAGGGGGAGGUGGAAUUCUCGAGUGUAGAGGUGAAAUUCGUAGAUAUUCGGAAGAACAUCAGUGGCGAAGGCGACCUCCUGGACAGAUACUGACGCUGAGACGCGAAAGCGUGGGUAGCAAACAGG
rnacentral:rRNA from 1 species